rnacentral:rRNA from 1 species
CCUGGUGGCCACAGCGAAGGUGAAACACCCGUUCCCAUCCCGAACACGGCAGUUAAGCCCUUCAGCGCAGAUGGUACUUGGCCCUGGUGGCCUGGGAGAGUAUGUCGCCGCCAGGA